AUGACUCCUUAGAUGUGAAGGUGAGUCUUAACGGAGGUGAGGAAAGCAUGUGUUAUUAAGGAGAGGUGAUCUUAUUUGCACUUCUGAAGUUUUUAGGGCAGGAAUCGCCUUGAGCCAUCCGUCAAGAGGAACAGGCCGAGUCUGGGUGGUACAAGUCUUACGGCCAAUUCAACUGAAAUAAUAACGUGCUGACGUAAGAGUUUCCAGAGUGACAGGAAACCUCUGUGCAUAAACUUUGUGUCCGGUGCACAGACGCUAAGGGACGGGGAGGAGAGAACACAGACAGUGCUGCUGGGGCAGAGCAGACACAACGCGUGGCCAGGGGGCCACGAGGCGGCAUCUGGUCGUUCUCUAGAAACACUCGGCCCGCACGUCCGGGAGGAUGGAAUGGGCGUGUGUUCCAUCUUCCCCCGCAAAUACCUCUGGAAACCCCGCGAGCAGGAGUGAGCCAGACAGGGAAGGACACUGAGAGGAGGGGCGGAGGCUGCCCAGCUCGGGACCCCAGGAAAACCAGGCGUGGGGUGUCAGGGCUCUUCCUUGUCCUCAUACCCCAAACUGCAAGCUGGCGGAGCCGGCAGCCCAGAAAGGGACGCGGACUCAGACCCGAGAAGCCCAAGCCUGCUCUCCAGCCGGAGGGCCGGGGACCGAGCAGCUGCAGAAACUGCUCACUAAAGGAGUCUGGGAAGUGGGCUGGGAUGUUUGAUUCUGAGAAAUCUUCGGGGGACUGGAAAUGUCUUGCAUUGAAAGUGAAGGUUCUUAUUUUAUUUUAAAACUGGAUUCUGUUUCUCUGUGACUCGGGGUUAGAGGGAACCAACAAAAGAGGAAACAGGAAAUCUUGAUCAGAAUCUUCUAGAAGGAAUGCUGAAGAAAUAGGGGGCAUUCCUGUGACACUGAGGUCACUCUGGGUCCUGGAAGGCAGUGUGAAGGCGUGGCACCCACUCGCCAAAUUCCCCCAGGGCAGAGUUAAGGUCUCCUUGCUGCACGUGCUCCAGCCACCUCAGGACCACAGGUGUGUCCUUCUGAGAGCAGGUACUGUCCUUACAAAUAACCCUGCAGCCCUGUGGCGGGCACUGAGCCCAGACCCGGCGGGCGUCUGGAAAUCCACCAAGUACCAGAGCUCAGACUAAGAGACAGACAGAGAAUCAUCCUGCCGCCUCAGGAGUGUCCUAGCUAACUCCUUGCACCAUAGACUUGCAAGUCCACACGGAGACAGACUGCAGACCGGCCAGUAAAGCCCAGCCUCCCCCGCAAUCUCUGCAGCCCCCUCACAGCCCCCUCGCAGCCCCGCCACCCAGACGUGGAAGCCGGACCAUGCAUCCAGCCGUGCUGCCGCGGGGGAAGUUAAGCUGAGACCUGUGGCUCCGCUCAGCCAUCGGGACAUUAAGCUGCGGGGUGAGAACCCCUUGUGGAAGGAAGCAGAACACUGGAGCCGAGACAAAGCUCUGUUGAAACAGUCCUGCGGGAAGAGGAGGCGGGGCAGGCCUAGUGCCAGGUCCCCUGGGCACCGUCGUGUUAACGGCCGGUGACUCUAAGUCGACCCCACCCACCAGCACCUUCUUGGCCCUGCCGCCGUCUCGGGGUCCGGCCCGGCCCUGCCAUCCUCUGCGUGGCCCGUCUCCGCUGGCUCCUUGGCGUCCCGAGGCGGCAGAAGAAGGCCUGUCAGGAGCCAGCCCGAGGCGGGGAGGGGUGCAGGCUGCCCCCUCCCCUGCAAGAUGGGACACCUCAUCACAGCCGGUCCCACCCUACUCAGCGCUUACAAAACUGACCCACAGAAAGGCCAUCUCAGUGUCUGGAAACCACGGAACAAAGAGGCCUGAGUGGGCCACGCGUGGUCUCCCCUUGGUGACCUGAAGAAAACGCUUCAAUUCAUAGAAAGUCAGCAUAACGCAUACGCAUAACCGACUGGCUGGUGGCACAGCCUCGGACGUGGUCGGGGCCGUCUCGGAGGGAACCUUAGGAGCUCUCGGCUCUGUGAUCAGCACCAGCUGAGUAGACACCUGCCUGAAAAACCAAAACGGACCGUCCGUCUGCAGCGUUGAAUGGACACUUUUCUAACACCCGCAGCAGGCGAAGCUUGGGGACCGGGGACCACCUCGCGGGCCCAGCCCCUGGAGAGGCGGACGUGCUGUGCCCCUGCUCCAGACGCCUUCCCCGAACAGCUCGAAAAGGUGAUUUUCCGGCUCUCGAGCUCUGGGCUUCCAACGAGAGACAUUUGUCAGCACACAGCCUGUGUGUGCGUGAAGGUCCAGGAGGGAAGACGUCGGGGAGGACGGCGCUCCCGCCGUUCCCGGAGCUCAGGCAACUGGAAACAAAACGAACCAGGAAAACAAAGUUCCCUGAGUGCGCGAGGCGUCCUCCUGAAGCCCGGCCCCAGCUGCCGGCCCCUCCUUUCUAUCUGAAGGGAACCGGGGUCUUUAUCAAGAUGAGAAUUAAGGCUGAGUCAGGACGAAGUCAGCGGCUCUCAUAAGACAGAGAACUUGCGGGAGGGGGCAGGUUUAUGAACACAGACUUGAACUCAGGUGUGAUGGCCCUUGUGUAUAAACAGAAAUGUGUUUAUUCAUAAACCUCGCACUUUCUAUAAACAUAAGAAUGAGAAGGUGGAUUAGGAGUUUGGGAUUAACAGAUACACGUUCUUACACAUAGAACAGGUGUCCAGCACAGGGAACUAUACUCACUUCCUUGUAAUGAGCCGUAAUGGAACCGAAUCUG